GCUCACGGCCACACAGCCUGGUUCAUCCUGAUCUCAUUUGAUCUCGGAAGCUAAGAUAGGUUGGGCCUGGUUAGUACUUGGAUGGGAGACCGUCUGGGAAUACCAGGUGCUGUAUGCU
rnacentral:rRNA from 1 species